UCCCGCUAAAGGCUUUCUCCUUCCUUUCCCCAAGGCAGCGUCCCUUCUCUGGCUGCCGGGCUCCUCUUUGGAGGUUUGGCAGGGUUGGGAGCCUACCAGCAGUCCCAAGAUCCAAAGAAUAUCUGGCUUUCUCUUGUGGCAUCUGGAACCUUGUCUGCUGUUAUGGGAAUGAGAUUUUACAACUCCA